GAGCCAGGAUUUGGAGUUUUUUUGCAAUAGAAUUGAGUAAGAAAAGACGUAGAAUUAUUUUUUUUCUUGAAAGUGCCUUCUAUCUGAUCCAACUUGGCAAGCGACGCAUCUCUGGUGAACGAAUGUUGGAAAAUUAGAGUUGUUUAAACAUGAAUGCCUUGCGCUAAUAAGGGAUUUCCUGCAGUAACAAAUCGUAGUGCUAUUGCAUGAGAAUGCCUAAGACUCUUAAUUUGCAGAACGAAAAAAAUGUUUCUGCAUUCACUAA